rnacentral:tRNA from 1 species
UCUCCUGUAGCUCAGUGGUAGAGCAUCUGACCGUGUGCGGAAGGUCAUAGGUUCAACUCCUGUUGGGGGAA